AGACCCGAAACCCGGUGAUCUAGCCAUGGGCAGGUUGAAGGUUGGGUAACACUAACUGGAGGACCGAACCGACUAAUGUUGAAAAAUUAGCGGAUGACCUGUGGCUGGGGGUGAAAGGCCAAUCAAACCGGGAGAUAGCUGGUUCUCCCCGAAAGCUAUUUAGGUAGCGCCUCGUGAAUUCAUCUCCGGGGGUAGAGCACUGUUUCGGCUAGGGGGCCAUCCCGGCUUACCAACCCGAUGCAAACUGCGAAUACCGGAGAAUGUUAUCACGGGAGACACACGGCGGGUGCUAACGUCCGUCGUGAAGAGGGAAACAACCCAGACCGCCAGCUAAGGUCCCAAAGUCAUGGUUAAGUGGGAAACGAUGUGGGAAGGCCCAGACAGCCAGGAUGUUGGCUUAGAAGCAGCCAUCAUUUAAAGAAAGCGUAAUAGCUCACUGGUCGAGUCGGCCUGCGCGGAAGAUGUAACGGGGCUAAACCAUGCACCGAAGCUGCGGCAGCGACGCUUAUGCGUUGUUGGGUAGGGGAGCGUUCUGUAAGCCUGUGAAGGUGGCCUGUGAGGGUUGCUGGAGGUAUCAGAAG
rnacentral:rRNA from 2 species